CCGAUUACCCUGAGGAAGGAUUUGCAAACGAGAAGGACCAGCCCAGCGCUGUCCAACAGAAAUGUAACCCGUCCCAGAAAGGUUCUGUCCUGCGGCUCUUGGGAUCAUCAGGAAGAAGCUCCGAAGGUGUUGCUGACGGCUAGUUUCUUAGUUUCCCUUGCCUGAGCCGUGGAGUGCCCAGCUUGUUCCAUCAACCGUUAUUGUGGGAGUUUGAAAUUUUAACACUUAAAGCCACAUACUAAACAAGGUAGCCCCGGCUCCCUUCAGUGAGAUGGCCUCACUCAAUCAGUGAUGGUUCGCCCAGACCACUUUCUCCCAGGCCAGGGAGAACUUAUUCUCGGAGCUGAGAUUUUAGAGUUUUUUUUUUUGUUUUGUUUUGUUUUGUUUUGUUUUGUUUUGUUUUGUUUUGUUUUUUUCCUCUUGCAAUCAGACUCAAUAGGACCUUGAAGCCUCGCUGGGCCUGAGCCAGAUGGCCUCUGUACAGGAACUGUGCGGAAAGCAAUCCCGCGUCUCAAGCCUUCAGAUGUGAGCUGAUAUUGGAGUGGUUAGCAGUCUGGUUGGGAAGGGGAGGGGAGGGGCGGAGGGGUGGCGGUGUCUCGAGCCAACUACAUAUCUCAGGACUCAUCAAACUCCUCAGCUACUCCAUGGGCCACUUGGUAAUGAUAGUCAGCUUUCUCUCAACUCUCCAGUCUGAACUGAGUGACUGAGUCUCUAGGGUGGACGGGCAUCGCCAUGUCAAAACCUCCCUGUUGCAUCGGGCCCAGACUGGAACCAGUGUCAGCAUUAUAAACUGUUACCCUCUCCAUCUACAGAUGAGCAAACUGAGCCCAAGAGGUGGGAAGCAAGCCAGCGCCGCAGCCCAGCCAAGGGCUCGGGUCUUCAGACCGCUUCAGCCUGUCCCUUACUCAUUCAGACAAGAGGCAGUGAGGGUUCCCCGGGGUUACCAGUGGCUGUGGAACAGUGAGUGAAAACGGCCAAGCUCAGAUUGAGUGAACGGAAAACAAGCAUCAGGUCCUGGCAGAGAAAAAAGCAGCCCCGACACAUCACGUGAAAAACUCUACGGAUGCCCAAGGCGACUGUUCACUAGGUGGCUGUGGUUCAGGCACACAGGAGGCUUCUCGCUGCUGUGAAAGAGGAAGCAGCUUUCAUUUGGCUCCGCCCACCAAGGCCCAGUUCUAUCGGCGAUUGGGGUCUCCUUGGCUCUGGGCCCGUUAGCCUCUGUGAGCAGGGUCUGUCCCUGGCCCGCAGAGCGACUUGGAAUAAGGUGUACCUUCUGGGUGAGUUCCUGAGCCCCGGGGGUUCUUGGAGUAUGUCACUGUUCCAUGAAAAUGCUAAGCCACAGUGAGGCGGGAGCAAUUUCAGUAGGCGAGCGCUAUUAUUAUCAUGUUAAUUACUAUGCCAGGCAGUCCUCUAAAUCCUUUGUAAACAUCAACUCAUUUAAUUCUCAAGGUAGGUCUAGGAGAUAAGCUCCGUUAAAUGCCCCUCCUUCCUUUUCCUUUUCAUCCUGUAUUUUGGCAUCGUUUCUCCCCUUCUCUUCAGUCAGCAAAGAUGGACUGAGCCGGGUGUGAAGGUACACCUGUGACGUCAGCAUUCAGGAGACAGAGGAGGCAGGAGGAUCAUGAGUUCGAGGCUAGCCUGGGUUACAGAAUAAGACCUUAAAGACUGGGUGUGUAAUAUAGCUCAGUAAUAGAGUGCUGGAGUAGGGGUCAGGGUCCUAUCUACAAAGUCAGAUGAGGACACAUUAGGAAGUGGAGUAGCUGUCUGAUGGCCCUGGGAGCUGGCGCACAUGUUAUUUCCGGCAGUAGCCCGUGACGUAGAAAGGUAACCUUUGGUUUUGAGAGCUGGGUUAACCAGCUGACCAGGCUAGUUCAGUUUGGGGACUCAGGAAAACUCUCUGGGUAAAUGUCAUGACUGGGCAAAGCUGGCAUAUUCUGGAAGAGGGGAGGGGCAAGGACCUGCUACAAAAGGCACUCUUAGGACGUGAGGGAGUUUGAGUCAGGGUCAUCCAGCAGUGAAGUGGUUGUGGGGUUCCUUUGUACUUGAGGAGGCUUUAUGUUUUGGCUAGUACUCUGGGAAAUAGCCUUUGGCCCAUGCCAUUGAGCUGUCUGUCUCUUUCCUUUCUCUUGUGUUCCGCUGGGCUUGGCACCUAUGCUUUCUGUACGUGAGUGCACUCAAGCCUGACAAGGGGCAAGAUACACUCCUGUGUCCCCUUACCCUACACAUGGAAGGUAUUCAGAAUAUUAGGUAUCCUGAAUGCUGGAGAAAGGACAUCUCACAUUGUCUAGAAGCCCCUCCCCUGGGUGUGAGCUUCCAAACUUCCGCAGCAGCCCUGAUCUCAUCUCCCAGCUCCCAGUAACUCAGGCCCGUCCUGCUGUGAAAGCCACAAUCAGCCCAGUGUUUCCUGAGAGAAGCUGGCAAAGAGUCCUGGGCAAGGCAGCGCAGCUCCACAGAGGCUCCAGCCCUCAGCCCUUCCGGAAGCAUGAGUGCUCGGACCCGGUCCUGGCUGGGGUCAGGAGGCCGUUGCACGCAGGAACUAAAAUGCUCAAAGCUCAAGCUUUGUAGUCAUAAAUGGCUACGGUUUUAAAACGCUGAAUUUUGUAGCAAAAGCUUAUGCAGUAAUAACAGCAGGUUAGGGAGUAUACAGCAACAGCAUGAUUAGCCUCUUCUGGACAGGAUACCCGGGGUGACAGCAAUUAUUUUGCAAAAAUAAAGACCAAUAGAAUCAUGA